rnacentral:rRNA from 1 species
GACGAACGCUGGCGGCGUGCUUAACACAUGCAAGUCGAACGGAAAGGCCCUGCUUUUGUGGGGUGCUCGAGUGGCGAACGGGUGAGUAACACGUGAGUAACCUGCCCUUGACUUUGGGAUAACUUCAGGAAACUGGGGCUAAUACCGGAUAGGAUCUCCUGCUGCAUGGUGGGGGUUGGAAAGUUUCGGCGGUUGGGGAUGGACUCGCGGCUUAUGAGCUUGUUGGUGGGGUAGUGGCUUACCAAGGCUUUGACGGGUAGCCGGCCUGAGAGGGUGACCGGCCACAUUGGGACUGAGAUACGGCCCAGACUCCUACGGGAGGCAGCAGUGGGGAAUAUUGCACAAUGGGCGGAAGCCUGAUGCAGCAACGCCGCGUGCGGGAUGACGGCCUUCGGGUUGUAAACCGCUUUCGCCUGUGACGAAGCGUGAGUGACGGUAAUGGGUAAAGAAGCACCGGCUAACUACGUG